rnacentral:misc_RNA from 1 species
GAUGAAGAACGCAGUGAAAUGCGAUACGUAAUGUGAAUUGCAGAAUUCAGUGAAUCAUCGAGUCUUUGAACGCACAUUGCGCCCCCUGGUAUUCCGGGGGGCAUGCCUGUCCGAGCGUCAUUGCUGCCCUCAAGCACGGCUUGUGUGUUGGGCCUCCGUCCUCCUCCCGGGGGACGGGCCCGAAAGGCAGCGGCGGCACCGCGUCCGGUCCUCGAGCGUAUGGGGCUUCGUCACCCGCUCUUGUAGGCCCGGCCGGCGCUUGCCGACACAUCAAUCUUUUUUCCAGGUUGACCUCGGAUCAGGUAGGGAUACCCGCUGAACUUAAGCAUAUCAAUAAGCGGAGG